rnacentral:rRNA from 1 species
UACGUAGGGGGCGAGCGUUGUCCGGAUUUAUUGGGCGUAAAGAGCGUGUAGGCGGCCAGGUAGGUCUGCUGUGAAAACUCGAGGCUCAACCUCGAGACGUCGGCGGAAACCAUCUGGCUAGAGUCCGGAAGAGGAGAGUGGAAUUCCUGGUGUAGCGGUGAAAUGCGCAGAUAUCAGGAAGAACACCUAUGGCGAAGGCAGCUCUCUGGGACGGUACUGACGCUGAGGAGCGAAAGCGUGGGGAGCGAACAGG